rnacentral:rRNA from 1 species
AUUGAACGCUGGCGGCAUGCCUUACACAUGCAAGUCGAACGGCAGCACGGGAGCAAUCCUGGUGGCGAGUGGCGAACGGGUGAGUAAUACAUCGGAACGUGCCCAAUCGUGGGGGAUAACGCAGCGAAAGCUGUGCUAAUACCGCAUACGAUCUACGGAUGAAAGCAGGGGAUCGCAAGACCUUGCGCGAAUGGAGCGGCCGAUGGCAGAUUAGGUAGUUGGUGAGGUAAAGGCUCACCAAGCCGUCGAUCUGUAGCUGGUCUGAGAGGACGACCAGCCACACUGGGACUGAGACACGGCCCAGACUCCUACGGGAGGCAGCAGUGGGGAAUUUUGGACAAUGGGCGAAAGCCUGAUCCAGCCAUGCCGCGUGCAGGAUGAAGGCCUUCGGGUUGUAAACUGCUUUUGUACGGAACGAAACGGCCUUUUCUAAUAAAGAGGGCUAAUGACGGUACCGUAAGAAUAAGCACCGGCUAACUACGUGCCAGCAGCCGCGGUAAUACGUAGGGUGCAAGCGUUAAUCGGAAUUACUGGGCGUAAAGCGUGCGCAGGCGGUUAUGUAAGACAGUUGUGAAAUCCCCGGGCUCAACCUGGGAACUGCAUCUGUGACUGCAUAGCUAGAGUACGGUAGAGGGGGGAUGGAAUUCCGCGUGUAGCAGUGAAAUGCGUAGAUAUGCGGAGGAACACCGAUGGCGAAGGCAAUCCCCUGGACCUGUACUGACGCUCAUGCACGAAAGCGUGGGGAGCAAACAGG